GCGGGUGUGGUGAAAUUGGCAGACACGAUAGACUUAGGAUCUAUUGCCCCAAGCGUGCAGGUUCGAGUCCUGUCACCCGCA
rnacentral:tRNA from 1 species